UACGUAGGGGGCAAGCGUUGUCCGGAAUCAUUGUGCGUAAAGAGCGUGUAGGCGGCCAGAUAAGUCCGCUGUGAAAUCUCGAGGCUCAACUUCGAGCUGUCGGUGGAAACUGUCUGGCUAGAGUCCGGAAGAGGAGAAUGGAAUUCCUGGUGUAGCGGUGAAAUGCGCAGAUAUCAGGAAGAACACCCGUGGCGAAGGCGGUUCUCUGGGACGGUACUGACGCUGAGACGCGAAAGCGUGGGGAGCGAACAGG
rnacentral:rRNA from 1 species